UUCGGUCAAAUGACUUUUGAACUUAGUGGCGGACGGGUGAGUAACGCGUGAGCAACCUGCCUUUCAGAGGGGGACAACAGUUGGAAACGACUGCUAAUACCGCAUAAUGUAUUCGGAAGGCAUCUUCUGAAUACCAAAGGAGAAAUCCGCUGAGGGAUGGGCUCACGUCUGAUUAGUUAGUUGGCGAGGUAACGGCUCACCAAGACUGCGAUCAGUAGCCGGACUGAGAGGUUGAACGGCCACAUUGGGACUGAGAUACGGCCCAGACUCC
rnacentral:rRNA from 1 species